rnacentral:rRNA from 1 species
AGAGCGAACGCUGGCGGCAUGCUUAACACAUGCAAGUCGCACGGUCAGGUUUCGGCCUGGUAGUGGCGGACGGGUGGGUAACGCGUAGGUAUCUAUCCGAAGGUGGGGGAUAACGGCGGGAAACUGCUGCUAAUACCGCAUAUGACCUGAGGGUCAAAGGUCGCAAGACCGCCUGUGGAGGAGCCUGCGUACGAUUAGCUUGUUGGUGGGGUAAAGGCCUACCAAGGCGACGAUCGUUAGCUGGUCUGAGAGGAUGAUCAGCCACAUUGGGACUGAGACACGGCCCAAACUCCUACGGGAGGCAGCAGUGGGGAAUAUUGGACAAUGGGGGCAACCCUGAUCCAGCAAUGCCGCGUGUGUGAAGAAGGUCUUCGGAUUGUAAAGCACUUUCGACGGGACGAUGAUGACGGUACCCGUAUAAGAAGCCCCGGCUAACUUCGUGCCAGCAGCCGC